GACGAACGCUGGCGGCGUGCUUAACACAUGCAAGUCGAACGGAAAGGCCCUGCUUUUGUGGGGUGCUCGAGUGGCGAACGGGUGAGUAACACGUGAGUAACCUGCCCUUGACUUUGGGAUAACUUCAGGAAACUGGGGCUAAUACCGGAUAGGAGCUCCUGCUGCAUGGUGGGGGUUGGAAAGUUUCGGCGGUUGGGGAUGGACUCGCGGCUUAUCAGCUUGUUGGUGGGGUAGUGGCUUACCAAGGCUUUGACGGGUAGCCGGCCUGAGAGGGUGACCGGCCACAUUAGGACUGAGAUACGGCCCAGACUCCUACGGGAGGCAGCAGUGGGGAAUAUUGCACAAUGGGCGGAAGCCUGAUGCAGCAACGCCGCGUGCGGGAUGACGGCCUUCGGAUUGUAAACCGCUUUCGCCUGUGACGAAGCGUGAGUGACGGUAAUGGGUAAAGAAGCACCGGCUAACUACGUG
rnacentral:rRNA from 1 species